rnacentral:rRNA from 1 species
UACGUAGGGUGCAAGCGUUGUCCGGAAUUAUUGGGCGUAAAGAGCGUGUAGGCGGCCCGAUUAGUCCGCUGUGAAAGUCAAGGGCUCAACCCUUGAAUGCCGACCGAUACUGUCGGGCUAGAGUCCGGAAGAGGCGAGUGGAAUUCCUGGUGUAGCGGUGAAAUGCGCAGAUAUCAGGAGGAACACCUAUGGCGAAGGCAGCUCUCUGGGACGGUACUGACGCUGAGACGCGAAAGCGUGGGGAGCGAACAGG